rnacentral:rRNA from 1 species
AUACGGAGGAUGCGAGCGUUGUUCGGAAUUACUGGGCGUAAAGGGCGCGCAGGCGGCUUGAUAAGUCAGAUGUGAAAGCCCACGGCUCAACCGUGGAAGUGCAUCUGAAACUGUCUGGCUUGAGUACUGGAGAGGAAAGUGGAAUUCCUGGUGUAGAGGUGAAAUUCGUAGAUAUCAGGAGGAACACCGGUGGCGAAGGCGACUUUCUGGACAGAUACUGACGCUGAGGCGCGAAAGCGUGGGGAGCAAACAGGAUUAGAUACCCUAGUAGUCC